AGUGAACGCUGGCGGUAGGCCUAACACAUGCAAGUCGAACGGCAGCACAGUAAGAGCUUGCUCUUACGGGUGGCGAGUGGCGGACGGGUGAGGAAUACAUCGGAAUCUACUUUUUCGUGGGGGAUAACGUAGGGAAACUUACGCUAAUACCGCAUACGACCUACGGGUGAAAGCAGGGGAUCUUCGGACCUUGCGCGAUUGAAUGAGCCGAUGUCGGAUUAGCUAGUUGGCGGGGUAAAGGCCCACCAAUGCGACGAUCCGUAGCUGGUCUGAGAGGAUGAUCAGCCACACUGGAACUGAGACACGGUCCAGACUCCUACGGGAGGCAGCAGUGGGGAAUAUUGGACAAUGGGCGCAAGCAUGAUCCAGCCAUACCGCGUGGGUGAAGAAGGCCUUCGGGUUGUAAAGCCCUUUUGUUGGGAAAGAAAAGCAGCAGGUUAAUACCCCGCUGUUCUGACGGUACCCAAAGAAUAAGCACCGGCUAACUUCGUG
rnacentral:rRNA from 1 species